AAGUUCAUCGUCGUCGCCCGGACAUCUCCGUCACCCCCUCACUGCGCUGCCGCUACCAAUCGAUGCGCGUCGUCGUCCUCUACAUCCCUCUGCAAGGAAUCGCCCGGGGGCGCCCUAAAUCGUCGCCUCCAUCCUCGUUUCUUCCCCAGCACCGGCGGCCUUUUUGCUCGACUCCGGCCGCCACCGUCCUCCUCCGCCCUCCUCGUCACGUCCUACACAUCCCUGCAACCCGCCGACGGUGAAGCUCCGGCCACCUCCCGUGGGCGGCGCCGCCUCCUCUUCGUCCGCGCCGACAAGGCGCACCCGACGCCCCUUCCUCGCGUCCUGGGACGCAUCCAGUUGCCGGCGCGCGCGACGCCUCGCCGCGGUGACCGCCCCUCGCCCGGAACGCGCGCGGCAUCACACCGCAUCGAACAGCUUCUAUGCGUUCCAGCACGUUUCGCCACGCUGGCAGCCACGUGGCCGCGGGCCCCGUCCGUCAGCGGCUCCAGCUAGUCCCUUUCCGCAUCUUCCUGCGCCGCGUCAGCACUCCCUGGCCCGCGCGUCAGUCGCUCGGGCUAGCCAGUGCCUGGCAUUUGCUUCUUCCCGGAUAGGAUCACGAAGUGGUGAUGUGAGAAACGGCGAAUUCUCCGACAAGUUUUUCUGCAGCUUUUCACAGGC